UACGGAGGUUGCAAGCGUUGUUCGGAAUGACUGGGCGUAAAGGGAGCGCAGGCGGCCAAGUCAGUCUGAAGUGAAAGCCCGGGGCUUAACCCCGGAAUAGCUUUGGAUACUGCCUGGCUUGAGUGUGCGAUAGGAAAGCGGAAUUCCAGGUGUAGCGGUGAAAUGCGUAGAUAUCUGGAGGAACACCGGUGGCGAAAGCGGCUUUCUGGCGCAUAACUGACGCUGAGGCUCGAAAGCGUGGGGAGCGAACGGGAUUAGAUACCCCGGUAGUCCACGCCGUAAACGUUGUGCACUAGGUGUUGGAGGUAUCGACCCCUUCCGUGCCGAAGCUAACGCAUUAAGUGCACCGCCUGGGGAGUACGGUCGCAAGACUGAAACUCAAAGGAAUUGACGGGGGCCCGCACAAGCGGUGGAGCAUGUGGUUUAAUUCGAGGCAACGCGAAGAACCUUACCCAGGCUUGACAUCCCGAGACCGCCAUGGAAACAUGGUUUCCCCUUCGGGGGCUCGGAGACAGGUGUUGCAUGGCU
rnacentral:rRNA from 1 species